AUUGAACGCUGGCGGCAUGCCUUACACAUGCAAGUCGAACGGCAGCACGGGAGCAAUCCUGGUGGCGAGUGGCGAACGGGUGAGUAAUAUAUCGGAACGUGCCCAGUCGUGGGGGAUAACGUAGCGAAAGCUACGCUAAUACCGCAUACGAUCUAUGGAUGAAAGCGGGGGAUCGCAAGACCUCGCGCGAUUGGAGCGGCCGAUAUCAGAUUAGGUAGUUGGUGAGGUAAAGGCUCACCAAGCCGACGAUCUGUAGCUGGUCUGAGAGGACGACCAGCCACACUGGGACUGAGACACGGCCCAGACUCCUACGGGAGGCAGCAGUGGGGAAUUUUGGACAAUGGGCGCGAGCCUGAUCCAGCAAUGCCGCGUGUAGGAUGAAGGCCUUCGGGUUGUAAACUGCUUUGUACGGAACGAAACGGUGAGCUCUAAUACAGUUUGCUAAUGACGGUACCGUAAGAAUAAGCACCGGCUAACUACGUG
rnacentral:rRNA from 1 species